AUUCGGUGAUGAGGGCAAGAAUAAAAUAACUUCUUGAAUCGCUCCUAGUACUCAUGGAGCGUCUCCAACUCACUUUGUAUAAUGCAAGAAAUUUCUUUCCUCAACCGAUU